AAAACUGAGCAGAAGGUACAGAAAGUCCCUACAUACCACUACCCCUCCCCCAACACACAAGCACAACGCCCUCCACUAUGACAUCAUUGUCAGCCAGAGUCUGCAGUUCACAUGAGAGUUCACGCCUGGUAUUGUAUUCCAUUUCUGAGGACAACAGUCUGAAGAGAAAGUGUCCAGAUAGAACUUCAAACAUAUGGGAAAACUACCAAGCAACAAAACAGUAAAAUAAAUACUUUUGAGAAAUCACA